rnacentral:rRNA from 1 species
UACAGAGGUCUCAAGCGUUGUUCGGAUUCAUUGGGCGUAAAGGGUGUGUAGGUGGCGCGCUAAGUCGGGUGUGAAAUUUCGGAGCUUAACUCCGAAACUGCAUUCGAUACUGGAUGGCUUGAGGUUGGGAGAGGGAUGCGGAAUUCCAGGUGUAGCGGUGAAAUGCGCAGAUAUCAGGAAGAACACCCGUGGCUAAGGCG